rnacentral:rRNA from 1 species
AAUAGAUACCCCGGUAGUCCACGCCGUAAACGAUGGAUACUAGCUGUCCGGCGCAAGCGUGGGUGGCUAAGCGAAAGUGAUAAGUAUCCCACCUGGGGAGUACGUUCGCAAGAAUGAAACUCAAAGGAAUUGACGGGGGCCCGCACAAGCGGUGGAGCAUGUGGUUUAAUUCGAUGAUACGCGAGGAACCUUACCAGGGCUUAAAUGUAGUGGGACAGGUCCAGAGAUGGGCCCUUCUUCGGACUCAUUACAAGGUGCUGCAUGGUUGUCGUCAGCUCGUGCCGUGAGGUGUCAGGUUAAGUCCUAUAACGAGCGCAACCCCUGUCGUUAGUUGCCAGCGAGUGAAGUCGGGAACUCUAACGAGACUGCCGGUGCAAACCGUGAGGAAGGUGGGGAUGACGUCAAAUCAUCACGGCCCUUACGUCCUGGGCUACACACGUGCUACAAUGGCCGGUACAGAGAGCAGCCACGCCGCAAGGCGGAGCGAAUCUACAAAACCGGUCACAGUUCGGAUCGGGGUCUGCAACUCGA